rnacentral:rRNA from 1 species
UACGUAGGCAGCGAGCGUUGUUCGGAGUUACUGGGCGUAAAGAGUGCGUAGGCGGUUUUCUAAGUUUGGUGUGAAAUCUCCCGGCUUAACUGGGAGGGUGCGCCGAAGACUGGAAGGCUUGAGUAUGGGAGAGGUAAGCGGAAUUCCUGGUGUAGCGGUGAAAUGCGUAGAGAUCCGGAGGAACACCAGAGGCGAAAGCGGCGCUCUGGGCUGCACCUGACGCUGAACUGCGAAAGCCAGGGGAGCGAACGGG